CGGAGGAUGGGAGCUUGCUCCCUGAUGUUAGCGGCGGACGGGUGAGUAACACGUGGGUAACCUGCCUGUAAGACUGGGAUAACUCCGGGAAACCGGGGCUAAUACCGGAUGGUUGUUUGAACCGCAUGGUUCAGACAUAAAAGGUGGCUUCGGCUACCACUUACAGAUGGACCCGCGGCGCAUUAGCUAGUUGGUGAGGUAACGGCUCACCAAGGCGACGAUGCGUAGCCGACCUGAGAGGGUGAUCGGCCACACUGGGACUGAGACACGGCCCAGACUCCUACGGGAGGCAGCAGUAGGGAAUCUUCCGCAAUGGACGAAAGUCUGACGGAGCAACGCCGCGUGAGUGAUGAAGGUUUUCGGAUCGUAAAGCUCUGUUGUUAGGGAAGAACAAGUGCCGUUCAAAUAGGGCGGCACCUUGACGGUACCUAACCAGAAAGCCACGGCUAACUACGUGCCAGCAGCCGCGGUAAUACGUAGGUGGCAAGCGUUGUCCGGAAUUAUUGGGCGUAAAGGGCUCGCAGGCGGUUUCUUAAGUCUGAUGUGAAAGCCCCCGGCUCAACCGGGGAGGGUCAUUGGAAACUGGGGAACUUGAGUGCAGAAGAGGAGAGUGGAAUUCCACGUGUAGCGGUGAAAUGCGUAGAGAUGUGGAGGAACACCAGUGGCGAAGGCGACUCUCUGGUCUGUAACUGACGCUGAGGAGCGAAAGCGUGGGGAGCGAACAGGAUUAGAUACCCUGGUAGUCCACGCCGUAAACGAUGAGUGCUAAGUGUUAGGGGGUUUCCGCCCCUUAGUGCUGCAGCUAACGCAUUAAGCACUCCGCCUGGGGA
rnacentral:rRNA from 1 species